GUAGAGACAAAAAGAAAUGUGUAUGGUAGAAACAGAAAGGAAGAAGUUAUAUUAACUAGACUGAGGCUUGGUCACACUGAAUUAAAUUCAACUAUGUCAAUACUGGGAGUUAAAAAAAAUGAUUUGUGUGAUCAUUGUGGAGUCAGAGAAACCGUAGAACAUGUUAUGUUUGAUUGCAGGAAAUGUAGACAAGAGAGGAGGGAAUUAAUAGAAUAUUUAAAUAAUAAAGGACAUAAAGAUAGAAACUUAGAAUAUAUAUUAGGGAUAAAUGUUAAUAGGGAUAGUUUGGGGUAUAGGGUAUUAAUACAAUGUCUAUAUAACACAGGAUUGAGCGAAAGAAUAUAAUAAAUAAUUUAAAUUAAAAUGUAUUAAAAGGACCCUGAGGGACCAAGUCUGGAAGCAGGAGGAGCUGAACAUGCAGUUGACAGUUGAGUCCUGAUGGAGAAAUUUAGGCAGCUGAGUCGGAAGUUCUAAAACGAUCGCAAAAACGAGUGCACUUCCGCAUCGAAGUAUAAGGUCAAUAUACGAAUUUCACUUUUUUAAUUGAAUUACUGAAAUUACAACUACAAUUAUUACAACUGUUUUGAUGACAUUGUAAUUCAUUGAGAUGCACCUGUAAAUUGAUGUGAACUUUAUUCUAACUUUAUAUUAUACAACUUGGUAUUAUAUUUUGACCGUUUUCUUGUUAAAGUAACGUUCCACUUAUGUUGUUGUAUAAUCUAUUGUAGUAUUAGUGUACAAACAUUUUUCAACUUGUCACUUCAUUAGGCAAGCCUUCAUCUUGUCACCAAAGAUCACUGUUGCUUGUGUUGGAAAUUCCGAGCUCUCCACUGAAACAGGAGCAGGAACAUGUUACAACGUUGUUGGUAGUUUGAAUGCAACUUUAUUAUGUAGAGACAAUUAAUAACCAAAUAAAUCCAUUGUUAUUUUCCAGAAUGCAGAGUGCUUGCUGCAGAAGAAAAUAAAUGAAUUCACCCAGCAGAAAGACAUAGAUGUGUUGAAAUACAUUAAACACAAACUUGCUGGAAGAUUGGAAAGUGCAUAAAGAAUGCAGAGGCCUUGCAGCAGAUGAUGAUGCCUUUCAUGGCAAAAAUGACAAAAA